GUUUAUUAUCUCAAACAAUCCUUCGCCAUCCUGCUUAGUUAGCCCUUGUGAAGGCAUUCCCUACCUGAAGAUUGACAACCAUGACACCUCUGAUGUCACUUCUGCAUGCCUGAACCCCCCACUUCCUGCCCAGAACCUUUAUCUCCGAAAGCAAUGCCAUCUUGAAUCAGUCUGAUUGAGACUCGCAUUACUGAGACCUUUUUUUUUUCAUAGCGCUAUACCGCACGUUUUAUUUGAUACUUGUGGUGCCCCAAAGAUCUAUAAAUCUCUGUCUGUCUCUUUA